rnacentral:rRNA from 1 species
GAGAUCUUCGGAUCUAGUGGCGCACGGGUGAGUAACGCGUGGGAACCUACCUUUUAGUACGGGACAACGUCUGGAAACGGACGCUAAUACCGUAUACGCCCCAAGGGGGAAAGAUUUAUCGCUCCAGGAUUAGCCCGCGUCUGAUUAGCUUGUUGGUAAGGUAAUGGCUUACCAAGGCGACGAUCAGUAGCUGGUCUGAGAGGAUGACCAGCCACACUGGGACUGAGACACGGCCCAGACUCC